UACGAAGGGGGCUAGCGUUGCUCGGAAUUACUGGGCGUAAAGCGCACGUAGGCGGUCUUUUAAGUCGGGGGUGAAAUCCUGGAGCUCAACUCCAGAACUGCCUUCGAUACUGGAAGACUCGAGUCCGGGAGAGGUGAGUGGAACUGCGAGUGUAGAGGUGAAAUUCGUAGAUAUCGGGAGGAACACCUGUGGCGAAAGCGGCGCACUGGACCAUAACUGACGCUGAGGCGCGAAAGCUAGGGGAGCAAACAGG
rnacentral:rRNA from 1 species